AUUGGUUUGUGUAAAUUAAAUUUAGUGAGAAAGCCUGUUUUUUUUGCUUCAGGCAUGAUUUUUACGUCUGCACUGAUAAUAUGGAAGACAAUAAUGUGCAUGAUCGACAGUGAAUCACCUGUUGUUGUUCUUUCUAGAAGCAUGGAACUGGAUUCAUGCGGAUGAUCUUGCCAUUAACGAGGCAACAAUACUCCGGGAAAGUUUCAAAAAAUUGUGUAGCCAUUUGGAGUCUCUUGGAAUUUAUACUAACGAAGAAGGCAAAGCAAUUGACAAGGUUAUUUUUGUUUUCAAAGAUAAAACAUUCACACCAGGCUCUUAUAUUCUUUUCAUAGUAUCACCAAAAGGACUAGGAUCAUUAUCGGUUAGUAUAGCCAAAAUCUCAAGUCAAAUUUAAUACAUAUUCUGCAUAAUUCCUUAUUGGUUUUUAUUCUAUUUUGUUUUUUAAUUGGAAACAUAUAAGUUUCUCUAAAGAUGGAGCCACUCUAGAGGUUGAGUCUACAAUUAUAGAGAAUAAACUACUUUCACAAGUCGUGCUUGAGUCAAUGAUAGAUGUGCACGAUGUCUCCUCGUGCAAAAGAUGGUGAAACUAAUGACUUCUAUUUCAAAUUAUAUUCAUACUUUCUUUCAGUUUUAUUGGAUCUGGAAAUAUUUUGUUUUCUUUCAUUGUUAUGCGACUUCACGACUUGAGCCAAUGAUAUAUGUGCACUGUGUCUCCCCGUGCAAAAGACGGUGAAGCUAACAACUUCUAUUUCAAUUUAUAUUCAUACUUUCUUUCAGCUUUAUUGGAUAUGGAAAUAUUUUGUUUUCUUUCAUUAUUACGCGACUUCACGACUUGGGGAUGAUGUCAAUUCUUAUCAGAUUGUGGAUCUUGAAAUGGAAAAGCUAUUCCAUCUUGACAUUAAUGUCAAACGCCCCGCUUUGAUCCUUAUCAAGAAAGAGGAGGGAAAACUGAACCAUUUUGAUGGCCAAUUCGGCAAGUCUGCAAUAACAGACUUUGUCUCCUUGAACAAGGUUUUAUUGGUAAUUGUUUUUACAAGAGAAAAUGUUCCAUAAUUAUUUGAAAAUCCAAUCAAGAAAUAGGUG